rnacentral:lncRNA from 1 species
UUAGGUACUGUAGCAAACUUGAUUUCUAUUUAUAUUGGUGUUAGAUUACUGUAUUCUCACUUUUCCAUGGCUAAUACCCCCGAUACUAUCCAUAGUUUCAUCAAAAUAAGCAAUCAACACAACAAAAAUAGAAUCUGUCAAAAACAGACCAGUCUGUAGCAAUCUGUAUACUUUGUAUACUUAUGGUAUCUCAAAAAUUUAGAAACAUUACGACAGUUUGGGAA